GGCGGCGUGCUUAACACAUGCAAGUCGAGCGGAAAGGCCCUUCGGGGGUACUCGAGCGGCGAACGGGUGAGUAACACGUGAGUAACCUGCCCCUGACUCUGGGAUAAGCCUGGGAAACCGGGUCUAAUACCGGAUAUGACCACUUCCGGCAUCGGAUGGUGGUGGAAAGUUUUUUCGGUUGGGGAUGGGCUCGCGGCCUAUCAGCUUGUUGGUGGGGUAGUGGCCUACCAAGGCGACGACGGGUAGCCGGCCUGAGAGGGCGACCGGCCACACUGGGACUGAGACACGGCCCAGACUCCUACGGGAGGCAGCAGUGGGGAAUAUUGCGCAAUGGGCGGAAGCCUGAGCCAGCGACGCCGCGUGGGGGAUGACGGCCUUCGGGUUGUAAACCUCUUUCAGCAGGGACGAAGUUGACGUGUACCUGCAGAAGAAGCGCCGGCUAACUACGUGCCAGCAGCCGCGGUAAUACGUAGGGCGCAAGCGUUGUCCGGAAUUAUUGGGCGUAAAGAGCUCGUAGGUGGCUGGUCGCGUCUGCCGUGAAAGCCCGCAGCUUAACUGCGGGUCUGCGGUGGAUACGGGCCGGCUAGAGGUAGGUAGGGGCAAGUGGAAUUCCUGGUGUAGCGGUGAAAUGCGCAGAUAUCAGGAGGAACACCGGUGGCGAAGGCGGCUUGCUGGGCCUUACCUGACGCUGAGGAGCGAAAGCGUGGGGAGCGAACAGGAUUAGAUACCCUGGUAGUCCACGCUGUAAACGUUGGGCGCUAGGUGUGGGGGUCUUCCACGAUCUCGUGCCGGAGCUAACGCAUUAAGCGCCCCGCCUGGGGAGUACGGCCGC
rnacentral:rRNA from 1 species